UACGUAGGGUGCAAGCGUUGUCCGGAAUUAUUGGGCGUAAAGAGCUCGUAGGCGGCUUGUCGCGUCGUCCGUGAAAACCCACAGCUCAACUGUGGGCUUGCGGUCGAUACGGGCAGGCUGGAGUUCGGUAGGGGAGACUGGAAUUCCUGGUGUAGCGGUGAAAUGCGCAGAUAUCAGGAAGAACACCCGUGGCUAAGGCGGCUCUCUAGUACGGUACUGACGCUGAGACGCGAAAGCGUGGGGAGCGAACAGG
rnacentral:rRNA from 1 species